UAGUAAAAGAAAGCUAAACUUGAGCACAAUGUAAGUAAAGCUGUAAAAAAUUGAAAUGACUCCAUUAACCAUUGAGGAUCAUAAACAUAAAUCAUCAUGGUAGACAAAACAACAAUUAAUCUAAACCUAGAAUUAACAAAAACACAAAAUGUCAAAUCUUAUUCUUUUAUCUCCUUCACAAACUUCUUAAGGUUCUCAUAAGAUGUACCUCCUUUUGCUAUGUUGUUCAUCACUUUCUCCUUCAACACCACACACCUAAAUUUCAUGCUCUCAUCAUUACAUAAUUGUUCAACCUUGGUUUUCAACUCUCCGCGUGACACAACUCCAUUUUGAUCUUUGUCAAUUCCCAACCCAACCUUUAACUCAUCACAAAUAUGUGUUUUGUUGUAAGGUUGGUCUCCAAAGUAUGGCCAACACAAGAAAGGUACCCCAUUGGACAAACCUUCCAUGGUAGAAUUCCAACCACAAUGAGUGAGAAAACAUGCUAUGGCAGGGUGACUUAAAACCUUUUGUUGAGGAGCCCAAUUCACUAUCUUACCCUUAUGCCCUUGGAAUUCAUGAGGGUAUGCCAUUUUAUUGUCUUCUCUUAUAACCCAAAGAAAAGGUCUAUUGGUGAGGUCUAGUCCUAGGGCAAGUUCAUUGAAUUGGUUUUGGUCAAAAAGAGUGAUACUACCAAAGGCAACAUACAACACAGAACCAUCAGCUUGUUCAUCUAGCCAACUCAUGCAAGAGAGAUCUUCUUCCCAGAAUUGUCCCAAUGAUCUUAGAGUUACAUUAGUUUUGUAAUGAUGAUCACUUCUCAACAACGGACCAAUUGGAAGGAAACUCGGAACAAGGGUUAAUACGUGAGGUUCAAGUUCAUGUGCAGUAUCACAAAGCCACCAUUAAGUCAAAUUUAAAGCUGGAGUACAGUGAUGCACCAAGUAAUUAAGGUAAUGAGAACCAUCCAUAAGUCCAGNNNNNNNNNNNNNNNNNNNNNNNNNNNNNNNNNNNNNNNNNNNNNNNNNNNNNNNNNNNNNNNNNNNNNNNNNNNNNNNNNNNNNNNNNNNNNNNNNNNNCAUGACAUAAUUGAGAAGUAAAAUAUGUUUUUAGAUGGGCAUGGUAUUUAUUAAAACAGGACCAAACAAAAGCAUAAGGUGCCACACUUUAGAAACAAAGGCAACAAUACAAAAGUAUAGUAAAGUAUGAUAGUGUUCUUACCAUCUGAAUCUAUGAUCCCAUCAUCAACGAGCUUUGGAACACUGCUUACCAAAUGAAACAAAGUUGCAGAGGCAGGCCAAAACAGAGCUCCUUUGAUUUCCAAUUCACAGGCAACAUUCAAUAUCCAUCCAACAUGUACAUCUGCAACAAUAAACCUGAUUCUGUUGUCACCUUUCAAAUGAAUAUUAUUAUUAUCCUCUAUGAGCUUUUUAAGUGCUUCUGGCAUGGUGAUUAGCAUAGAAUCACAUAGCUUGCCCAAGUUGUUUCUGUCAUCAUCAGGUCCUAAGCCAUCUGGGAUUGAGACCAACUUCAGUGGUGAUUCUUCAUUGUAUUGAUCCACCAUUGAGCUCACCACUCUCUUGUGGUUGAAGUCUGUGUUCACAAAUAUGACUUUGCAUCCAUUCUCCACCAGCUUUUGUGAUAGGGUUAACAUGGGAUUCACAUGCCCUUGACAUGGAAAUGGGAAAACUAGCACAGUUGGAAUGCUCAUGCUGUGUUCUUGUGUUUGCACUUCACGGGUAUGGCUUUGUUUAUAUACUCUGAAAAUAUGACUACCAGUUGUUAUAGGCUCAUUGGAUUAAGGAUAAUUGGUAAAUAUUUGGAACCACAAAUUUAAGUUUUGUUUUUAUCUGAAUGUGAGUUGUGUAUAAUUUAGUUAUCUAUAAUGUUAAUAGAAAUGUUAAGAAUUAUGGUUAUUGUUUACUGUGUAGCCAAAUCAAUUUUUUCUUCUUCUUUAAUAUAAUAUGAUUAUACAAAAUUGAGUUUGGUAGUUGAAUUGGAUUGUGAAAGUGCUGGUACCAAAGAAUAAGAAAACUUUCCACCUAUUGAUGGAUCUAAUUGAGUGAUAAGGGAACCAGAUGCUCGUCCUUGGCCAACUAUGCCAGAAUUUGCCCUUUCAAAAGCAAUGGUGUUGUAACGACCACAUCCCAUUCAAAUUCCAGGGAAUUUUUGUUAUUCUGCAUGCAGUACAGAACCCAAUUGUACAGUACGUUCACGAUAAUGGAAGUAAGUUAUUUCUUCUCCAAUUUUCCUAACGAUCAUGAUGAGAGGGACAUGUGGAAGAUUUUUCAGCGAAGUGGAGGAUUAAAAGACGUUGUGAUUUAAAAAGAUUAAUCGUAAAAGGGCAGAGGUUUGGUUUUGUUAGAUUUCAGGAUGUUGUAGACGUUGCUAAUCUAGAAAAAAAGCUUAAUAUUAUCUGGAUUGGGACAUGGAAGCUGAGAAUAAAUAAACCAAAAUACAAGAGACUUCUGGAGGUUAGGAAGGAGUGGAAUGGAAACCAUAAACCAAGGAAACAACAAAACGAGUGGAGGCAGAGGGAGCAACAUCUAACGUACGCUCAGGUGGUGGUGAAGGAGAAUAAAAGGAGAGUACAAGGGGUUAAGGCACAAGGACUGGUUCAUGUCAGAGUUCAGGAGGAAAAUGCAAAAUGGCUGAGAAGUUGCUUCGUAGGAAGAGUGGCGAAGGUGGAGAAGGUGCAGUCCAUGAAGUAGUGUUUCAUUAUGGAUGUUUUCAAGUGUAUUAGAGUGAGGUAUCUAGGGGGGACUACGUUCUGCUGUCUGAGGAUUUGGUAGGGGUGGUACAAAAAGCGUUGGAAGACAAAAAGGAGUGGUUUGCAAAUGUUUUUGCAUUUGUAGUCCCAUGGGAUGACAUCUUUGUAGUGGAGGACAAGAUUGUAUGGGUUAGAUGCAGAGGAAUUUCUUUAAAGUUCUGGAGUAAACAUUGUUUUGAACAAGUAGCAGCCCUCGUAGGGUCAUUGAUAGAAGUCGAUGUUGCAACGUUAUCAAGUACGCAAGGGUGCGUGUGAGGGUUCCUGUGGCCAGAGAAGCAUGCACGGUGAAGAAUGUGAGACUUAACGAAACAUUGUGUAAGCUAGUUAUAGAGGAGGAGACUUCCAUCACGAGUCUCUGCGUAUGCGGUCCUCAUUAUAAGUGGAGGGAGAUGCAUGGAAGGGAGUCAAAUGGUUAUUGGGUCUCGAAAGGCCCAGCGAAGUGAAGGCAGUAUGUUUAGUGUUUUCAUGGGUUUGGGCCCAAGGAAGGUGGAAGUUGAACAAUCAGGGGGUAUUGCAAGCACAUAACCCACGAAAUGGCAGCUAGAACAACGUUUACGUUGGCGAGGGGAGGAAUGGUGCGUUGCGAGUGAGUAAUGGAGGAAGGCAGGUGAGGGGUAAGGUGAAGCUCCUAUUGAGGUUGGGCGCUUGCAGAGGAGAAGGUGUCAUUGUCAUAGAGACAAAAGAGGGUGUUGAAACAUAUCAGUUGGCACAACGGGGCUAUGGCAGAUUUUCCCCAACAACGACGACGUUUAUAAGUGCCUAAUUUCAAUAAUAUUUUAUAUUAAAAUAUAGGUACUUAUGUGUAUUAAUUUCUAAAUUACAUAUAAAAUAAAUUCCUAAUUUAUGAAUUUAUGCCUUUUUUACAUUUUUUAUGAUCUUUAUUUGAAUAAGAACAUUUUAUUCCCAUAUUUGGUGUUAAUUGUAGGUUUCUAGGGAAAAAUGGAGAUUUGGACUAAAGAAGAAUGAUAUAAGCUAAAAAGAGAAUGCUGGAAGGUCCAGAAAGCACAAAAAGAGAAAAAAAAGAGUCCAACCCAGUAGCAGAGUUCUUGCUCAAACAAGCUAUAUCUCGCUUGAGCGAGAGAGCUCCAACAACGUUCUCAAAAAAUCGACUCCUUUCUCGCUCAAGCGAGAAUGCAUCAGAGAAAUUGGGCCAUUUUUAUGUUUUAUCAAUAAACCCAUCAGUGCGACGCAAGAAGUCACAUAACCCUAGUAAAUUAGGUUAAAUAGGGGGCUAAAGGCUCAACCCUAGUAUGCCAGAUUGAGAGAAAAACACAUUUGAGUGAUUUGUAACCAAUUGGGAGAAUGGAAGGUGCUGGAAGUAUGCGUGGGUAAUUCUACCCUUUGGGAUUGGGAGUAAUAUGUUCGAACUCUUAUGUAUUGAGGUGAUGUUUAAAUAUGAUAUCAUAUUUUGUCCUUGAUUGAUUAUUGGUAUUGUUGUUUUUCUUCUAAAUAGUGGUGACAUGUUUGAGAAUCUUGAAUUAGACUGGGAGGUAUUUUCAGGGUUCUGACCUAAACAACAAUACUUAACAUAUUUGAAUGUUAGAGAUAACUUGAAAUGUCAAUUGCUAUUAACGUCUGAGCGCGACUCUGAGUUGUUUUUAUAAGUAUGCGAGAGUUCGAUAUUUAGGAAACAUUCUUAAGAAUUUUAUAUGCGAGAGAUUGAUAUAAAUGAUUUUUCUACAGACAUCAAUUUCAAUAAAAGAACUUAAUGUUAACAUGCUAAUCAAAAUACAUGAGAGUGAGCAAGAUGAAACCUAAUCCCUAUUUGUCCAAUUGAAGCAAUUACUCUUUGAUUUGUUUUCUUGUUAAUUGUUGCCAUUAUAACAAUUUUCAAACCAAAUUUUUAUUGUUUUGUUUUAUAUUUAGUGAAUAUUGUACUUGAUAAUUCAAUUGUUCCUUGUGACAUUGAUAUUCAUUCUUUAUUACUUCUAACAACGCGAUGUACUUGCUGUAAAAAGUCAUCAGGCGUCCCCGGCUUCUCCCCUGCAUUCAUUUGGAGAAGGCAGCGAGCAAAGGGGGCGGAUAAGGGUGAAAAUUUUAAGUCUUCGAGCUGCAAUGGAAAGGCAGCCACGGAGGAGAAGGAAGACAACGACUUAAGGGGAUGUGCGACUUUGGAGGAAGGUGAUGGUGGUUGGUGCAGGGGAGAUGCGGACGUGAAGUUCGCUGAAAUUUUAAUCGAAGCUAAGGGAGAUGGAGAUUUUUCAAAAAGAGGAGCGGAAGCGAGAAUAUUGACGGGGGCCACACCGACAAACUUUUCGGUGCAAAAUCAACGGGAAAUAAGGUUAGAUUCUUAGAGCUCAAUCAAUUGCUCUACUCAUAGUGCACUUAGGAAUUGUAAUAGGUUGUUUUGGAUUAAAACGAGUACUCGAAAGCUGAUAGAAUUUGGAAUGUUGGUAAGGAGGUGGGGUUUUCCUUUCUCGGAGAGGGUGAUGUUGUUAUUGGUAAGCUACAAGUCAUGGAGGUUAGAGACAAAUCUGCAGGUAGGAGGGAGGAAAUAAGCAGGGUGGAGAAUAGUCUGUCUAAUGAGUAAGCUAAUUAAUAUGAAUAUAAGGGGAGUAGGGGGAAAUAUUAAAAGGAAAUAUCUACGAGUUGAUUAAGAAAGAACAAGUAUGUUUACAGGAGGCAAAAUGUAAGGAGUUGGGGCAAGAAGAGAUUUUUAAAAUGUGGGGUACUAAUGAAGUGGAUUGGGUUGAAAAUGGAAUUAAAAACAAUGCAGGAGAGGUGAUCACGAUGUGGAGGAGAAGUUGCUUUCUUCUUAGUAAUUUUAUCAAUGAGAAGAAUUAUAGUAUAAUAGAAAGGGAGUGGAGGAUUGGAGAGCCGAUACAGAUCACUAUUGUUGACGUGUAUAAUUCCGGUUCCUUGGAAGAAAAAAGAUAAGUAUGAGAGGAGGUCAGAGAGAGGAGAACGGUGCAUGGAUCAAAGGCUUGGUGCGUGGUUGGGAACUUUAACUCUAUCAGGAGAAUAUGUGAAAGGAGGAAUGCAGGAAACGAUAUUGAUCACAGUAGGGAGAUGAGAAGAUUCAAUAAUUUUAUUGAAAACACUGAGUUGGUUGAUAUUUCGAUGAUGGGAAGAAAGUUUACGUGGUAUAAACCAAACAAUUUAAUCAAGAGUAGAAUUGAUCGUAUCUUGGUGUCGCGGGAAUGGUUGAAUAAGUAGCCUAACAGUAAACAUCUCGUUCUAAACAGAUCGGUGUCUGAUCAUUGCGUCCUGGUAUUAAAAACAGAUACUACGGAUUGGGGACUGAAACCAUUUAGGUCGUUGGAUAUAUGGAAAAAUGACGACAAAUUUAUGGAUUUCGUUAGAGUGAAAUGGGGAAGUUAUGACGUGCAAGGAAGUGAGAUCUUUGUCUUUAAAGAGAAGUUGAGAAUGUUGAAAGUUGAUCUUAAAACCAGGGAUAGAGAGGUGUUCGAUAAUGUUGAUCAGUUGGGGGAAGAUUUACAGAAGAAAGUUUAGGAGUCUGAUGCAAAGGAUGAUGAGGGCGAGUUGGAUGAGGAAGGAAGAGAGGAAAGAAAAUGGCUUUUAGCAAAGCAGAGAAGAAAUAAUCACGGACAUGAAGCUUUAUUUCAACAUAAGAUGCGCCAUGGAUGGUUGAAUCAGGGGGACUUGAAUACAAGAUAUUUUCAUUCGGUAAUCAAAUAGAGGAGAGCAAGGAACAACAUUAGUGGGCCGAGAGAAAAUGGCCAAUGGGUUGACGAGCAAGGUGAGGUCAAGAAAAAGGUUAGAGAUUUCUUCCAACAAAGGUUUGGUGGUGAUGCUUGUAAAUGUGUCAGGAUUGAUAAUGCAAGGUUCAACAGGAUUUCAGAAGAAGACAAUGAUAUGUUGGUAGGAAGAAUAAUCGAAGAGGAAAUAAAACAUGUUGUUUGGUGUUGUGAAAGUGAUAAAAGCCCGAGACCGGAUGGAUUUAACUUUGGCUGCAUUAAGUUUUGUUGGGAUGUUUUUAAGGUCGAUAUCAUUAGGGCAAUUCGUGAUUUUAAGGAAGGAGGAAGAUGGCCAAGGGGGACGAAUGCUUCGUUUAUCUCCUCCUAAAUAACCCGCAAAAAUUUGAACGAUUUUAGACCAAUUUCUUUGAUUGGCUAUCUAUACAAAAUUGUGACUAAAAUUUUGUCUUUGAGGCUGAAAAAUGUUUUGCACAAAGUUAUUGACAGUAGGCAAUUUGUUUUCUUGGAGGGUAGGGGGUUAAUGGAUAGUGUUUUAGUGGCAAAUGAAGUUUUGGAAGAAGUGAAGAGGAGAAAGACCAGUUGCUUUUUUUUUUCAAAGUUGACUAUGAAAAGGCAUAUGACUCGAUCAUUUGGGACUUUAUCUAUUACAUGAUGGACAAGUUAGGUUUCUGCGGAAAAUUGAUUGAAUGGGUAAGGGCAUGUCUCGAAUCAUCCUCCGUGUCCGUGUUAGUAAAUGAGAAUUCAGACCGAGGAAAGAAUUAAGACAAGCAGAAUUGAGAAAAAGAUUGGCUGGAGUAGUUAGGAAGGCGGUCGAGAAAGAGAUUCUAGAAAACCUGGAGAUUGGAGACAAGUUUGUUAAGGUAAACAUGCUUCGGUAUGCGAAUGAUACCCUUUUUUCUGCAAAGCUAAAGUGCAAAGUGUGUUCGUUAUCAAAGCCAUCCUUAAUUUAUUUGAAUUAGCUUCUGGUUUAAAGAUUAAUUUUGAGAAGAGCAGAAUAUGUGGGGUGGGAGGUGAUUUACAUAUGGGGCAACUUUGUGUAUCUAUUUUGAACUGCGCUGUGAUGAAGACUACGUUUAAGUAUUUGGGCAUGCUAGUAGGGGGAUGUCACAAAAGAAGUAAGUUAUAGGAAGACUUUGUCUGAUAAAAUUGGUUCUAUCUUCUCUACCCAUGUUCUAUAUGUCACACACACACAAUAUUUCAAAAUAUUGCCCUCUUCAUAGGAAUUUUAAUAUUUACACAUAUCAAACUAAAAUACUUAAGAAAACUAAACAUUUCCUUUGCUCAUUGUGAAGCUCUCUCAUUUGUAGCAUCAUCUGCUUCCGUAUAAAUACAUGAUCAUCCUAGAUAAGAAAAACAAAUUAUAAAAUAAACAACAUGGUAAACUAGCUAUUUUUAAAAUUUCAAAUAUAAAUUUAACUUAAAUUAACAAGCAUAAAUGCAUCAAUUCUCAUAUAUUUCACAAAGAAAUCAAGUGUGUAUAAAAUUCAUAAUUCAUCUUUCUCAUGUCAAACUUCUCCUAACCCACAACACAUAGACACUUGACUCUACUUUCAGAAGACAAAUGUAUUGAAAUUAGCACUCAGAAACAAACAAUCCUUCAAGAAAAUUGAACUAGUGUCCACGUCACCCGCACAUCCAGAUCUUCUAACCUAGGUUCUAUUGAAAAUUUAAAACUAGCUUCCCUUACCUGACUUUAGUAGGUGUGCUCACAAAGAGCUCCAACUCCUACUACAAUAAAUGAUAACUUAACCUGCAUCACAGAGUCUUAAUCAAAGGUCUAAAUAUAACACUAGGAAUUUGAAUUAAGAGUGGUUAAUCUUGAAGUUAGAAACAUCACAUGAAACAACCUAUACUAAGACAAACCUAACUAGUUAAGAACUGACUCAAAGGAAAAAUGAGCAAAAAAAGAAGAAGAACUUACUCUGUCUAAGAUUCUAAUCGUACCGUCUUGUGGCCUUUGCUGCUAGGAGUCCAAUAAUGGACUCUGAUCGUUAAUAUGAUGAAUGAGGAUGUCGAAAUUUUAGAGAUAAGGUAGAGAAAAGGAAAAUAGAAGUUUCAGAGAGAUGGUAAUUCUUUUAAAAUGAAAUAUGAGUAACUGAAUUUCUUUUCAUAUACUAUUUUCACUUUAAUAAUAAAAUAUUCAAGUUUCAUUUAAAAUAUAUCACUUCUACUCUAAAAUUAGUUUUUAGAUCCUUACCUUCAUCAAUACAUUUAUUUAUUUAUUAUAAAAGUUUUUAGUGGCAUAAGAGUGUAUGAAUACAUUAUACCGUUAACUUCAUCUUCAACUUACAUCAUGUGAAAAUUUCAUUUAAAUAAUGUUUAAAGCUCACUAGUGGAAACUCUAAUGUUAGUUACAAUUACUGUAUAUAGGAACCUAUAAUAAUAGUUUUUUAAACUAAAAAUUAUUGUUGAACUGGACAAGAGUGAGAAUUUACUAAAAAAACCUUCAAAUUAUAAUUUUUAUUCAAUAAUAAUUUUUUUAUAAAUAAAAAUUAAAUUUUGUUAAGAAUUCAGUUGGAUCCCAUAUUUUUUUUUAGUUUUCUUUUUCAACUAUUUUUUUUGUGUGGAUUCUUCUUAUCAUUUGUAGAGUAGCUAGUUACAUGAGCAACAACUUUUUUUGAAAGGGAUGGGAGGGAGGGAGUCUCUUUUCUCAUAUUCCAGUCUCUUUUUCUGCUGGUGUAUGUGCUAAUCAAAUUCCUCUGAUUUGGGAAGUCUUUAUAGUUUAAGUUUUUUAGUGUUAAGUGCUCCCUUAACCCUGUUUUGUAUUGUUGUUUGUUUAAACUAUGGAGGUAUUAUGUAUAAGGAUUGGGACACUCUUUAAGUGUCUCAUUUUUAUUUUAUUAAUUUAAUGCUGAUAAAAAAAAAAAACAACUAUUUUUGAACUAUUUCAUAUGCUUAGAGAAUCAUCAUUCAUUUGAUCUUGAAUUUCUGGUUCCUUGUACUUUUCAGACUUAAUUAAUAUGGACCACGUACCCCAUGAACUAAAUGCACCUAAGUCUUUUGUCUCUUGCACCUCCAUUGUCAGAACCACGUGGCCCAUCACAAGUUUUCACAGUGUCCUUUUAGAAUUUUUCAAUCUUUUCUCAGUUUGCUUUCUUUAUUUGUAUAUGUAUUAUUUGUGUACAUAUUGAAAACUUUAUUGUAUCUAGAUUACAGUAAAUAUAUAUGGUUCUCGAACAUGUGUUUGCUUACAAAACGAUUGCUCUGUUCUUUCCUUUGGUCGUUCGCGGUCAUAUUCAGUUUCUUGCUUCGUCUUUCUCUUUUCGGUCGUUUGGUUUCAAAGGUUGGGAUAGUACUUGCAGAAGGCAUUCCGACGAUCAAGUUAGUCAGAGUAUCGACACUCAGUUGUCAGAGUACUGCAGAUAAUUGACGUACCUGAUUUUUGGAAUAUGUGUUAUUUAUAUUAUCUUAAUGAACCUUUAUUGGUGGGCCGGAUUAAGAUGUUGGCUAAUGUUUAGGAUUUAGUAAACAACUCUUAAUUAUGGAUUAAUCCUGCUGACUUGGUCAACCCAUAGUUCGUCAUCAAGGUCGGUCGAUCAGGUUCUUCACAUGACCUUCUUAUCAUGACCGAGUGAUCGAGUUCAUGACCGACUCACUUAGUGGUUCGAUCGUGUGCCAGUACAUACAUUUUUUUACUUUAAAGUGAUUCAUAAUUUUUACUAAUAUUAUAUAAUUUUUCACAUUAAAAAUGCGUAUUUUUUUUAUGAUUUUUGAGUUUGUGUUAUUUCUUUUAUCAGUUUAUUAAUAUAAAAGUGUCGGUUCAAAUAAUUCGAAACUUAAGUAUUUAUACACUUUAUUCAAAUUGAUCAAUUCAAUGGGAUGUAAACUAAUUGGGUACUGGAAGGAUAAGAAAGUAAAUUGAACUAUUAUGAAAGACUAUUUAUAUUAAUUUUACCUCUAAAAGUUUAUAUUAUGUUCAUUAAAAUAACUAAUAAGUAGAGAUAAAAUAAAUAACUUUAACUAAGGGUUGAAACUCGAAUUUUUAUUUCAGAGUUGUUAACUUAACAUUUAAAAUCUUUCAAAAGCAUGAACAAUCUUUUAGAUUGGCGCCUGUAAAUAAGAGAAAAAAAAUCAUUAUUUUUGUUUCCUAUGUUUAUAGGAUCUGAAAAAAAAAACUAAUAAGUCAACACAUAAGUAUAAAAUGAAUAUCAAAUUAAAUUUUUCAUCAGUUAUCAUUAAAUCUUUAUAACUGUGUGUUAGUUUGAAUUGGGUCAGUUUAAACAUAAAACCAACUCAACACAAUCAUAAAUAAAACUUCAACUCAACCUAUUGAAUUAAAUUAAAGUUUGUUAAGCUGGCGUUUUUUUUAAUUAGGUUGUAUUAUUAUUUUUUAAUUAGGUUAAUAUUUAAAAGUUAUAAUUUUUAACGAAAAAAAAUUCAAAUUUUUGAUCCAAUCUUAAUCCAACCAUCUCAAAAAUGAUUUGGAUUAAUUGGUUUAACAUGCAAAAUUUAAAAACAAACUUAACCAACCUUAUAUUUUUAAAUGGGUUGAAUAAUAGGUUUUUCUAGAUAUACCCAAUAGAAAACCAUUUAAAAAUUAUAAUGGAUUUUUACCGCUUGAAAAGAGAUUCUAUUAACUUGGAUUCCAUCUUUUCUUUCAUCAAACAUAUAGUGAUAAUGGAUUUUUUUUAUUGUUUAUAUUUCCUUUUGUUAACAAACUUGCUACAUUUUUUUUUCUUAAGCAAAAUAAUUUAGUAGUAAAAGAAACCUAAACUUGAGCAUAAGAUGUAAGUAAAACUGUAAAAAAUUUAAAUGACUCCAUUAAUCAUUGAGGAUCAUAAACAUAAACUAUCAUGGUAUACAAAACAACAACUAAUCCAAACCUAGAAUUAACAUAAGCACAGACUGUGAUGUGAAAUCUUAUUCUUUUAUCUCCUUCUUCACAAACCUCUUAUUCCUUUAUCGCCUUCACAAAGCUCUUAAAGUUCUCAUAAGAUGUUCCUCCUUUUGCUAUGUUCUUCAUCACUUUCUCCUUCAACACCACACACCUACAUUUUAUGUUCUCAUCAUUAAAGAUCUGUUCCACUUUGGUUUUCAACUCUCCGCGUGACACAACUCCAUUUUCAUCUUUGUCAAUUCCCAACCCAACCUUUAACUCAUCACAAAUAUGUGUUUUGUUGUAAGGUUGGUCUCCCAAGUAUGGCCAACACAACAAAGGUACCCCAUUGGACAAACCUUCCAUGGUAGAAUUCCAACCACAAUGAGUGAGAAAACAUGCUAUGGCAGGGUGACUUAAAACCUUUUGUUGAGGAGCCCAAUUCACUAUCUUACCCUUAUGCCCUUGGAAUUCAUGAGGGUAUGCCAUUUUAUUGUCUUCUCUUAUAACCCAAAGAAAAGGUCUAUUGGUGAGGUCUAGUCCAAGGGCAAGUUCAUUGAAUUGGUUUUGGUCAAAAAGAGUGAUACUACCAAAGGCAACAUACAACACAGAACCAUCAGCUUGUUCAUCUAGCCAACUCAUGCAAGAGAGAUCUUCUUCCCAGAAUUGCCCCAAUGAUCUUAGAGUUACAUUAGUUUUGUAAUGAUGAUCACUUCUCAACAGCGGACCAAUUGGAAGGAGACUCGGAACAAGGGUUAAUACGUGAGGUUCAAGUUCAUGUGCAGUAUCACAAAGCCACCAUUGAGUCAAAUUUAAAGCUGGAAAACAGUGAUGCACCAAGUAAUUAAGGUAAUGAGAACCAUCCAUAAGUUCAGCCAUGUGAAACCAAAACAAGGUUCUUGUGUCCAUCUCUGGCAUACUUGGUGAUAAUUGAAUUGUCCCUUUUGAAGUUAAUAUGGAUCCUGCAAUGAAACAUGACAUAAUUGAGAAGUAAAAUAUGUUUUUAGAUGGGCAUGGUAUUUAUUAAAACAGGACCAAACAAAAGCAUAAGUUGCCAGACUUUAGAAACAAAAGUAUGAUAGUGUUCUUACCAUCUGAAUCUAUGAUCCCAUCAUCAACGAGCUUUGGAACACUGCUUACCAAAUGAAACAAAGUUGCUGCGGCAGGCCAAAAUAGAGCUCCUUUGAUUCCCAAUUCACAGGCAACAUUCAAUAUCCAUCCAACAUGUACAUCUGCAACAAUAAACCUGAUUCUGUUGUCACCUUUCAAAUGAAUAUUAUUAUUAUCCUCUAUGAGCUUUUUAAGUGCUUCUGGCACGGUGAUUAGCAUAGAAUCACAUAGCUUGCCCAAGUUGUUUCUGUCAUCAUUAGGUCCUAAGCCAUCUGGGAUUGAGACCAACUUCAGUGGCGAUUCUUCAUUGUAUUGAUCCACCAUUGAGCUCACCACUCUCUUGUGGUUGAAGUCUGUGUUCACAAAUAUGACUCUGCAUCCAUUCUCCACAAGCUUUUGUGAUAGGGUUAACAUGGGAUUCACAUGCCCUUGACAUGGAAAUGGGAAAACUAGCACAGUUGGAAUGCUCAUGCUGUGUUCUUGUGUUUGCACUUCACGGGUAUGGCUUUGUUUAUAUACUCUGAAAAUAUGACUACCAAUUGUUAUAGGCUCAUUGGAUCAAGGAUAAUUGGUAAAUAUUUGGAACCACAAAUUUAAGUUUUGUUUUUAUCUGAAUGUGAGUUGUGUAUGAUUUAGUUAUCUAUAAUGUUAAUAGAAAUGUUGAGAAUUAUGGUUAUUGUUUACUGUGUAGCCAAAUCAAUUUUUUCUUCUUCUUUAAUAUAAUAUGAUUAUACAAAAUUGAGUUUGGUAGUUGAAUUGGAUUGUGAAAGUGCUGGUACCAAAGAAUAAGAAAACUUUCCACCUAUUGAUGGAUCCAAUUGAUUGAUAAGGGAACCAGAUGCUCGUCCUUGGCCAACUAUGCCAGAAUUUGCCCUUUCAAAAGCAAUGGUGUUGUAACGACCACAUCCCAUUCAAAUUCCAGGGAAUUUUUGUUAUUCUGCAUGCAGUACAGAAUCCAAUUCUACAGUACGUUCACGAUAAUGGAAGUAAGUUAUUUCUACUCCAAUUUUCAUAACGAUCAUGAUGAAAGGGACAUGUGGAAGAUUUUUCAGCGAAGUGGAGGAUUAAAAGACGUUGUGAUUUAAAAAGAUUAAUCGUAAAAGGGCAGAGGUUUGGUUUUGUUAGAUUUCAGGAUGUUGUAGACGUUGCUAAUCUAGAAAAAAGGCUUAAUAUUAUCUGGAUUGGGACAUGGAAGAAUAAAUAAACCAAAAUAUAAGAUACUCGGCUCAAUUACAUAUCUAACACCAUUUACACUUUUAUUUCUUCAUCUAUCAUUCUUUUGUUUUUAUUUCCCUAUCUAGCACCAUUUCAAAAAUAAAUUAAAAAAAUAAUAAAUUAUUAUUUUUUGAUAAUUUUAAUUUUGAAUGCAUUAAAAAAUAAUUUUUUUAAUGUUUCAAAUAACUAGAAAUAUAAUUAAUGAAUAAAUAAAUGAGUUUUUACAAAAUAAAAAUAAAAAAAUAAUAAAUUAAAAAUGUUUAGUUUAAAAUUAUUAUUUUUUAAAAUGAACAAAAAUAAAAAAUUAAAACCAACAACAACAUAAAAGUUGAAUCCUAUAAACUAAAUUACUAUUUAUUUUUAUCAUCAUUGAUGAAGCAAAUAUUUAAAUUCAAGUAAAAAAAUCCAUCAAUAUAAUUAUAAAAAACUCUAAAGUUAAAUUAAUUUAAUUCACUACCGGUAACUUUAAAUAAUUAUUUUAAUNNNNNNNNNNNNNNNNNNNNNNNNNNNNNNNNNNNNNNNNNNNNNNNNNNNNNNNNNNNNNNNNNNNNNNNNNNNNNNNNNNNNNNNNNNNNNNNNNNNNUCAUUUACAGAUGAACAGAUUUAUUUUUCAAAACGAAAACAGAGAAAGUUUAACUAUUUAAAACUCAGUCGUUUUGAAAAGAAGAAGACUUAGUCAAAAUACCUGAUGCACAAAAUCUAAUUUUUACAAGACUUUAGCCAAGGCAUCAGUGAAGAAAAUGAAUCUGUUUAUUUAGAAAAGAACAGAUUUAUUUUUAUGCAGUAAACGUGUUUUUGUGUAAAACCUGUGAAAAACAGUUUAAGAAAACUUAUGCUUGUUCUUAACACAUGGCCAGUGGUUAUGAGGUGAGUUACUCAGCAAAAAGCUACUCUUAGACAACCUCUAAGCACUAACUAAGACAUACUUAAAGCAAAGCAAAAAUACAUGAAAGGUACAUAAAAGUCUUCAUCAAACACUACAUAUAUGUCUUCAUCAAACACAAUCUUGAAGGGGCAGCAACCAUCUUCAACAAGAACAAGAUGUCAUCAAGUACGUAAGGGUGCGUGUGAGGGUUCCAGUGGCCAGAGAAGCAUGCACGGUGAAGAAUGUGAGACUUAACGAAACAUUGUGUAAGCUAGUUAUAGAGGAGGAGACUUCCAUCACGAGUGUCUGUGUAUGCGGUCCUCAUUAUAAGUGGAGGGAGAUGCAUGGAAGGGAGUCAAAUGCUGAGUUGGAGGAGAAGUUUAGAGAGGAGUUCUUUGAGUCAGAAGGCUUCGACUACAAUGAUCAAAAUGAUGCGAGGGGGAAUGCCAACAAAGAGAAAUCAGUGAAAUUUCAGGCAAAGGGAGUUUCAGGUGCCGGGGGAGGCACAUGUAUAGGUAGCUCAAGUAGAGGUAGGGAAUCGAGGCAUGGAGGAGGUUACACUAAUUUGGAGGGGCACGUUGGCGGCAUGAGAAAAGAAGGUAUAUGCAGGACAUCCUUUGAGGUUGUGUCAAUGCAACAAGAGGUUAAUAAACCAAUAUGGGAUGCUACGGCUACGCGUGCUAAGGAGGUUAACCUAAUGGUUAUUGGGUCUCGAAAGGCCCGACGGAGUGAAGGGAGUAUGUUUAGUGUUUUCAUGGGUUUGGGCCCAAGGAAGGUGGAAGUUGAACAAUUAGGGGGUAUUGCAAGCACACAACCCACGAAAUGGCAGCUAGAACAACGUUUACGCUGGUGAGGGGAGGAACGGUGCGUUGCGAGUGAGUAAUAGAGGAAAACAGGUGAGGGGUAAGGAGAAGCUCCUAUUGUGGUUGGGCGCUUGCGGAGGAGAAGGUGUCAUCGUCACAAAGACAAAAGAGGGUGCUGAAACAUAUCAAUUGGUGCAGCGGAGCUAUGACAAAUUUUCCCCAACGGUGACGACGUUUAUAAGUGCCUUAUUUCAGUAAUAUUUUAUAUUAAAAUAUAGGCAUUUAUGAGUAUUAAUUUCUAAAUUACAUAUAAAAAAAAUUCCUAAUUUAUAAAUUUAUGCCUUUUUAUUUUUUAUGAUCUUUAUUUGAAUAAGAACAUUUUAUUCCCAUAUUUGGUGUCAAUUGCAGGUUUCUAGGGAAGAAUGGAGAUUUGGACUAAAGAAGAAUGAUAUAAGCUAAAAAGAGAAUGUUGGAAGGUCUAGAAAGCACAAAAAGAGGAAAAAGAAGUCCAAUUCAGUAGCAGAGUUCUCGCUCAAGCAAGUUAUAUCUCGCUUGAGCGAGAGAGCUCCAACAACGUUAUCAAAAUCGACGCCUUUCUCGCUCAAGCGAGAAUGCGUCACACAAAUUGGACCAUUUUUAUGUUUUAUCAAUAGACCCAUCAAUGCGACGCAGAAAUUCACCUAACCCUAGUAAAUUAGGUUAGAUAGGGGGCUAGAGGCUCAACCCUAGUGUGUUAGAUUGAGAGGAAAACACCUUUGAGUGAUUUGUAACCAAUUGGGAGAAUGGAAGGUGCUAGAAGUAUGCUUGGGUAAUUCUACCCUUUGGAAUUGGGAGUAAUCUGUUUGAACUCUUAUGUAUUGAGAUGAUGUUUAAAUAUGAUAUAAUAUUCUGUUCUUGAUUGAUUAUUGGUAUUGUUGUUUUGCUUCUAAAUAGUUGUGACAUGUUUGAGAAUCUUGAAUCCGACUGAGAGGUAUUUUUCAGGGUUCUGACCUAAACAACAAUACUUAAUAUAUUUGACUGUUAGAGAUAACUUGAAAUGUCAAUUGCUAUUAACGUCUGAGCGUGACUCGGAGUUGUUUUUAUAAGUAUGCGAGAGAUCGAUAUUUAGGAAACAUUCUUAAGAAUUUUAUAUGCGAGAGAUUGAUAUAAAUGAUUUUUCUACGGGCAUCAAUUUCAAUCAAAGAACUUAAUGUUAACAUGCUAAUCAAAAUACAUGAGAGGGAGAAAGAUGAAACCUAAUUCCUAUUUUUCCAAUUGAAGCAAUUACUCUUUGAUUUGUUUUCUUGUUAAUUCUUGCCAUUAUAACAAUUUUCAAACCAAAUUUUUAUUGUUUUGUUUUAUAUUUAUCGAAUAUUGUACUUGAUAAUUCAAUUGUUCCUUGUGCGAUCGAUAUCCAUCCUGAUAUCCAUCCUUAGGGACAAAUUAUUACUUUUGACAACGCGAUGUACUUGCCGUAAAAAGUCAUCAGGCAUUCCCGACUUCUCCACUGCAUUCAUUUGGAGAAGGCAGCGACCAAAUGGGACGGAUAAGGGUGGAAGUUUUAAGUCUUCGAGCUGCAAUGGAAGGGCGACCACGGAGGAGAAGGAAGACAACGACUUAAGGGGAUGUGCAGCUUUGGAGGAGGGGGGGUGAAUAGUUUAAAAGAGAUUUACGAAAUUUUUUGAAGAUUUAAUGGAAUUCUGUGAAGAAAUCCAGAAGAGGAAUCAAGUUAGCUAAGAACACAAACUGUUUUAAAGCAAAACACAGAAAAACAAUCGGUUGUUUAUACCAGUUAAAACUUAAACAACUUAAAAACAGAAUUUAAAGGAGUUCAGAGAAAGAGAAAUGCACACAAGCAGUUUAUACUGGUUCACUCUUACAACAAGAGCUACAUCCAGUUCCCAGAAACCACUAGGUAAUCCACUAAGCAAUUAAACCAGAUUACAAACACCACACACCAAAGUAGUGACCCUGAACCCCUCAAGAAACACAUUACCUUUGGCAAACCACACCAAGAGUAUUGAUCUUGAACACCUCAAGAACACACAACACUCCUUAGCAAUACAACAACAAAAAUACAAAAGAUUGAGAAAGGAUUACACCUGAUCAAAGUACAAUAUGAAAAGAAUACAAUUGCAAUCCUAUUUCACUCUCACUUGAAAAUCCAAAGCUUGAUGUGAAUCUUGAAAACUUGAGAUCAAAAGAUUGGUCAAAACAUUUAAUAUUAUCCAAAGAUUGGUCAAAACAUUUAAUAAAGGAAUGUAUUCAGUUAGAAAUCAUUUAAGACAGAUUCACCAUUCAAAACAGGAUCCUGUUAGGAUUUUCAAAGUUGAAACCACAAAACAGCCGAUUGAUUUGGUUUGACAGUUAAGUCAACCAAGUCAAACAACUUUCAGCCUUUUUCAAAACAUCUAAGAACAAAACAACCGGUUGAUUCGACAAAACAACAAGUUGUUUUUCACUUAGUUGAAAAAACAUUUAAUUUCAAAAAGGUUUUAAUUCACAUCAGUUUUAGAUUCAACAAAAGAGUGGAUCGCACUUUAAUCUACCCAGAUCCCACCCACACAUAACAACAACACUAGCCUUUCAUCAAACACCUUGGAUUUGGAUUCUUCAAAGCUCUUGAUCACUCUUGAUCAAUACAGGGGAGAUGUAAACGUGAAGUUCGACGAAAUUCGAAUUGAAGCCAAGGGAGAUGGAGAUUUUUCAAAAAGAGAAGCGGAAGCGAGAAUAUUGUCGGGGGCCACACCGAAAAACUUUUCGGUGCAGAAUCAAUGGGAAAUAAGGUUAGAUUCUCAGAGCUCGAUCAAUUGCUCUACUCAUAGUGCACUUAGGAAUUGUAAUAGGUUGUUUUGAAUGAAAACGAGUACUCAAAAGCUGAUAGAAUUUGGAAUGUUGGUAAUGAGGUGGGGUUUUCCUUUCUCGGAGAGGGUGAUGUUGUUAUUGGUCAGCUAAAAGUCAUGGAGGUUAGAGACAAAUCUGCAGGUAGGAGGGAGGAAAUAAGCAGGGUGGAGAAUAGUCUGUCUAAUGAGUAAGCUAAUUAGUAUGAAUAUAAGAGGAGUGAGAGGAAAUAUUAAAAGGAAAUAUCUACGUGAGUUGAUUAAGAAAGAACAAGUAUGUUGACAGGAGGCAAAAUGUAAGGAGUGGGGGCAAGAAGAGAUUUUUAAAAUGUGGGGUACUAAUGAAGUGGAUUGGGUUGAAAAUGGAGUUGAAAACAAUGCAGAAGGGUUGAUCACGAUGUGGAGGAAAUGUUGCUUUCUUCUUAGUAAUUUUAUCAACGGGAAGAAUUAUAGUAUAAUAGAAAGGGAGUGGAGAAUUGAAGAGCCGAUACAGAUCACUAUUGUUGACGUGUAUAAUUUCGAUUCCUUGGAAGAAAAAAGAUCAGUAUGGGAGAAUGUCAGAGAGAGCAGAACGGUGCAGGGAUCAAAGACUUGGUGCGUGGUUGAAACAAACUUCAAAUUAUAAUUUUUAUUUAAUAAUAAAUUUUUUAUAAAUAAAAAAUAAAUUUUGUUAAGAAUUCAAUUGGAUCCCAUAUUUUUUUUUUUAGUUUUCUUUUCAACUAUUUUUUUGUGUGGAUUCUUCUUAUCAUUUGUAGAGUAGCUAGUUACAUGAGCAACAACUAUUUUUGAACUAUUCCAUGUCCUUAAGGAGAAUCAUCAUUCAUUUGAUCUUGAAUUGCAACAAUUUCAGAAUGUAUAUAAUUGAACAUUUCUGGUUCCUUGUACUUUUCAGACUCAAUUAAUAUGGACCACGUGAAAAAUACCCCAUCAACUAAAUGCACUUAAGUCUUUUGUCUCUUGCACCCCCAUUGUCAGAACCACGUGGCCCAUCACAAGUUUUCACAGUGUCCUUUUAGAAUUUUUCAAUCUUUUCUCAGUUUGCUUUCUUUAUUUGUAUAUGUAUUAUUUGUGUACUUAUUGAAAACUUUAUUGUAUCUAGAUUAUAGAUUUUUUUUUUACUUUAAAGUGAUUCAUAGAUUUUACUAAUAUUAGAUAAUUUUUUACAUUAAAAAUUCGUACAUUUUUAUGAUUUUUUUAGUUUGUUAUUUCUUUUAUCAAAUUAUUUUAAUAUAAAAGUGUCGGUUCAAAUAAUUGGAAACUUAAGUGUUUAUACACUUUAUUCAAAUUGGACCAAUUCAAUGGGAUGUAAACUAAUUGGGUACUGGAAGGAUAUAUAAGAAAGUUAAAUGAACUAUUAUGAAAGACUAUUUAUAUUAAUUUUACCUUUAAAAGUUUACAUUAUGUUGAUUAAAAUAACUAAUAAGUAGAGAUAAAAUAAAUAACUUUAACUAAGGUUCACUAUAAGAAAAUCAUGAUCAUAGAAACUAAAAUAAUUAGUUGUAAUAAUAAUUAAAUUAGAGAUCAUUUUAAAAAUUAAAAAGAAAUUAGUUUUUAUUAUUGUUAAAUAGUUUAUAAAUUUGUAUCUAAUUUGCAAUUAAGGUUUUUGCUACUGAAAUUAGAAACUAAUUUAAAAACUAUUUUUUUAGUUUUUAAAAUGGUUUUCAAUUUAGUUAUUAUUGUAAUUAAUUAUUUUGGUCUUUAAAAAUUGAUUUCUAUUUUAUGAUUUUCUUGUAAGUGUCUAAACUCGAAUUUUUAUUUCAAAGAUGUUAACUUAACAUUUCAAAUCUUUCAAUUUAAUUUAAAAUAAGUUGUUAGAUGUAAACUAUGUAACAUAAAUACAGAUACGGACACUGACACGAUACGGAUAUGGAUACGGACAAAGAGAUACGUAUAAUCUGUAAAAUGUAGGACACGGGGACACGGAUCUAUAUAUUAUAUAAUUUUAAUUAUAUAAAUUGAAAAUAAAUAUUUAUGUGCAAAAGUAUGUUUCAGACUCUUUUGGGAGUAGGAAGAUAUUUUUCAUGACUGGUUCAAAAGAAUUUGUUCCUUAUUUUUAUAAUCAUAAUAAAAAUUUAUACAAUAAAUUUGAAUUUUUAGAAAAUUAUUGUAUUUAUACCUUUUAAAAUUGUGUUAGAACCGUGCUAGAAUUUUAAAAAAUUCAACAAAUUUUUUUGAAUUGAACACUUCACCAAUAAGUGUCCUAGGAGUGUUGACACCGAUACGUGUAUCCGACACGGAUACGCCUAUUUAAGAGAAGUGUCCGAGCUUCAUCCUAACUAUCAUAAAAAUGUAAGAAGAGCAUUCAUUUGGGUUUAGAUGGUAAUAUAUAUAUAUAUAUAUAUAUAUAUNNNNNNNNNNNNNNNNNNNNNNNNNNNNNNNNNNNNNNNNNNNNNNNNNNNNNNNNNNNNNNNNNNNNNNNNNNNNNNNNNNNNNNNNNNNNNNNNNNNNNNNNNNNNNNNNNNNNNNNNNNNNNNNNNNNNNNNNNNNNNNNNNNNNNNNNNNNNNNNNNNNNNNNNNNNNNNNNNNNNNNNNNNNNNNNNNNNNNNNNNNNNNNNNNNNNNNNNNNNNNNNNNNNNNNNNNNNNNNNNNNNNNNNNNNNNNNNNNNNNNNNNNNNNNNNNNNNNNNNNNNNNNNNNNNNNNNNNNNNNNNNNNNNNNNNNNNNNNNNNNNNNNNNNNNNNNNNNNNNNNNNNNNNNNNNUAUAAUAUAUACAUAUAUAUAUAUAUACAUAUAUAUAUAUAUGUAUAUAUAUAUAUACAUAUAUAUAUAUAUACAUAUAUAUAUACAUGUAUAUAUACAUACAUGUAUAUAUAUGCCUUUUUUUUUAUGUUUAUUGGAUCUGAAAAAAAAUCUAAUAAGUCAAUACAUAAGUAUAAAAUGAAUAUCAAAUUAAUUUUUUCGUCACUUAUCAUUAAAUCUUUAUACGUGUGAGUUAGUUUGAAGUGGAUCAUUUUAAACAUAAAUACAACUGAACACAGUCAUAAAUAAAACUUCAACUCAACCUAUUGAAUUAAAUUAAAUUUUGCAAAGCUUGUGUUAUUUUUAAUUAGGUUGUAUUAUUUUUUUUAAUUAGAUUAAUAUUUAAAAAUUAUAAUUUUUAACGAAAAAAAAAAUCAAAAUUUUGAUCCAAUCUUAAUCCAACCAUCUAAAAAAUGAAUUGGAUUAAUUUGUUUAAUAUGCAAAAUUUAAAAACAAACUUAACCAACCUUAUUUAUUUUUAAUUGGUUGAAUAAUAGAAUUUUCUAGAUAUACCCAAUAGGAAGCCAUUUAAAAAUUAUAAAAAAAUAAUUUUUUUUUAUCAACAAAGAAUUAAUUGAAUUAAAAUAGAUCACUUUAGAGAUGUCUCGACCCUUAAACAAAAUCCUCCAUUCUUUCCACCUCUUACUCUAAUUAAAACUAGUAGUAACCAUUACAUCAAAGUGUUACAUCUCUCGUUAUGCUUUAUAUCAACCCCACAAAUAUGACCAUUCAAAACACUGACAAAGGUUCAUAGUUGUUCCCCUUCCAAUGGCUACCCAGUAGAGUGGGAGAUGUGGAUACAACUUCAGAGUGAUUAAUCCAGCCAAGUCCCUGCACGUUCCCAGCUCAUGAUCCAAAAAACUAAGAUUUACUCCUUCAUUUUUUUGAUCAGCAACGAAUUAAUAAAAUUUAAAAGAGACACUUUAGGAGUGUCCCAACCUGUAUACAAAAGACCUUAAUGUCUAGACUGUACGCAUAAGCUAAAAAGGUUCUGCUGGACAUAAAAGAGCCAACCUAAAAACUUAUGGAUUACCCAUUUACCCCAAUAGACAAAAAAACAACACAAAAGACCCUCACUCACCACCUAAGACAGAAAACAAACUUAACCCCUAAAGAAGUCCACGAAUACCUCCAUAGCACACCAUAUCAGCACUCUACAAAACCACCAGCUCCCUCCACGCCAGAAAAAGAUAUGCUAAGUUGACGGUGUUGAGUAGCACCUGUUCUCCACCGCAGGCUCGAUACUCAACAGUCCCCUGUAACUACCACACACCAACCACGCAGCUGCUCAUCUAGAACCAGUGGAUACGGAUAGGGAACCUGCUUAACUUCUUGUGCUUUGAAUAAGACACCUGAAGCUCCAAUCUGAUAUGAAGUCUUCAAACUUGCAGGCAUUACCAGAGUACCUUAAGCAACUUACAACUCGAGACGCUCACAACCGAUGCCCUCUACAUUCACCUCGCCACGCAACGAGUUACCCAUGCACAUUGCCUUCGACGACCACCGACUACGUCCAUAAAGAGCACGCCACUUCCUCGACCGGCGAUUAUCUUUGCAUAACUUCGACGACCACCGACCGAUGAUCAUGUUAGCCUUUGCAUCACUUCGACAUCCACCGCCUACGCACGCAUUGAGAUCGCCGUUUCAUCGAGCGGUGAUUCUGUUAACCUUGUAUAACUUUGGCGACCACCGACUACAUACAUAUGGAGCACGCCGUUUCAAGUAGCUACGGCGACCACCGACUACACACAUAUGGAGAACGCCGCUUCCUCGAUCGGUGAUCAUAUUGACUAUCGCCGUUUUUAUUACCGGCGAUCAUGUUGAGCGUUGCAUCACAUCGGCGACCACCGACUACACAGAAAUGGAGAGCGCCGCUUCAUCAAUCGACGAUCAUGUUGAUAUCGCCGUUUCAAUUACCGGCGAUCAUGUUGAGCUUUGCAUAACUUCGACGACCACCGACUACACACAAAUGGAUCAUGCUGCUUCACCGAUUGACAAUCAUGUUAACCUAUGUACAGCACCACUUCACCGACCGGCGAUCAUGUUGACUUGCAUACCUUCAACGAUCACCGACUGUAGUACCAUCCUCUCCAGAUUUGCUACUUCAGAGACCUACUGUACCCAUUUCACUUCCUUUCUCCAACCAUAGUGGCUAUUACCCAGUCCUUACCCUCCUUCUUUCCAGCAGCACCACCAUUAGCCCGUCUAGCCUGCUAUAUGCCUCCCCUUGUUAUUUGAUACUGCAAAUGCAUGUCAGCGGGUUCAUAACCCAUUCUGCAUAGGAGUAACAAAAAAUAUUUUCCUUGUGUUUCAACCAUAACCACGAUUUAAGUUGGGCAUUGUGGAAAACUUCUUCUACAUCUACAACUCUUUGGUUGAAGACAAUGGAGUUUCUAUGUUCCUAUAGACAUCAGACUACAGCUGCCCACACACCUUUCCAUACCAGGUUUUGUUUAUAGGAGUGUUGGGGGAGGGAAAAACCUUCAAAAUUGGUCCUAAGAUUAUUGUGUUGGACAGACCAUAUACCAACCCAUCUAAAGCAUAAGUCCCACACCCGUACUGCAUACUUGCAUUCUAUAAAGAGGUGCUGACACGUUUCCUCCUUGGUCUGGCAAAGGGCACAUUCUGUGGUGUUCACCAUCACCCCUCUCUUGCUCAAACACUCCCUUGUUGGUAGUCUACCCAACAACACUCUCCACGCAGUGAUCAGCACAUUAGGAAACGCCUUUGUCUUCCAAAGAUAGCCAAACGGCGAUAUUUGUGUUCCUCCGUCGGGCUCUUCAAGGCAUUUAUAUGCAGACUUCACUGUAAAGUUCCCUGAUUCGUCCCUCCUCCAUACUUGCUUAUCCUGUUCAUCCUUUUUCAUAGUGACCCUGGAAAUGAGCAUACCAAGCUCGGUUUCGAGGGGGACCUCCCACUCAAAUCUGUUGCGUCUCCACCUUAGCUUCCACUGCCACACUGACUCCUCCCACAUCCCAACCUCUCCCACCGUCUGGCCCUGAUAUAGUGACAAAGAGAAUAGUCUAGGAAACAGAGCCUUAAGGCUGGCAUUCCCAGUCCAUAUAUCCUCCCAGAAUCUUGCUUGAUCUCCUUUCCCUACUUUUCAGCUAACCUCUUUUUUAAACCAACCCUCUCCCCCUCCCUGCCGGCAUACCUUUACUAAAUCUCUCCACCACCAAGAUUGAUGUUUCAGUGGGGUAUGGUUUCCAUCUUGUUCCGUACCAUACUUUGACUCCAAGCACUCUUUCCAUUUUCCUUUCUCGUUCGAUAUACAUCUCCACUUCCACUUAGCUAAAAGUGCUAUAUUAAACUUCCGGAUGUCACGAAUGCCUAAACCUCCUUCCUCCCGCGGUUUACUCCUUCAUAUCCUUAACCAAACCUAAUUUGCAGUAUCCGACAGAUCAAGAAUAUCACACUAGAAUAACUGCAACGUUCUUAGCACAUUGGCUCCCUUCUAGUUCAUUGGGUUCAAAUGGGCGCAACCAGAGGAUCUUAAUCUUCAUCACCAACAAAAGAAUAUGCCAGCAGCACCUAAAGGCAUAUAGCAUAACGCAUAUAAAAACCAGAGUAACAACAUUAUGACACACCCUUCAGAGGAACAUGCGCCUUACUUAACCAAGUUGAAACCAUUCUCACAAAGAUCCUACCCUACCCAAUUACUUGCAACUUUUGAUGCAUAGAACAUGAUUUAAAUGUCAGUCAGAAAACGAAAAAUUAAAGGCAUUGAGCAUGUAUUUCAACUAUAGCAACGAUCUAAGUUGAGCCAUUUGGAAAACUUCUUCUGCAUCACGUACACCUUGCUUAAAAAUGACCAUGUUCCUUUGAUCCUAGAUACCUCUUACUAUUGCCGCUCAUAUACCCUUCCACACUAAGUUUUGCUUGGAAUUCAAAUACACCAGAUGAAAGCUUUCAAAAUGAACCUUCAAAUCCUUAUGUUGAACGUUCAGAGUACCUAUCCACUUGUAGCAAAGAGACCAAAUGAUAUGAAUCCAAAUAGAAAUGACAGUAAAAUUGGGAAUUUAGGGUUACGGAACGGAAUAAAUUCAAAACAAUAACAAUAGAAACCUAGAUAAAGGAAGGCGCCACAAACAAAGUUUGAUAAGCCUAAGGAUGAUCACCACAAGAAUUGGUGGAUUCUUGAUAAGAUCGCAAGAUGCAGGAAAAAACCCUAGCAGAGAAACACUCUCUAAAAUUGUCAAAAUAUUCGUCCCCCUAUGUUGAGUUCCAACAAUGUAUAAAUUACAAAUUUAGCUAGAGGUCUUUUCUUGUUUGUAAGAAAAUAAGACGAUACUACAAUCCUUAUAUUUCAAGAAUGAUCAUUUGUCCCAGUGGUUAGGUUGAUACUAUGUACUUGGUCCUGAGUUCAAAUCCUAACUCCCAAUCUUGUUGUGCGUGUAAUCAAGAUCAAUCUUGUAGGUAUUGUCAUUAAUCAUUUCUAACACUUGAAAAGGUCCCGUCUAGGUUGGAGCUUGGAUUUUCUUUGUCUAGAUUACUUUCUUUCUUCCUUUGUUAACUUGUUUAGAAUAACCUUCAUCUUUUUCUUCAACUUGUGCUUCAACCUUUUUAUGCUGCUUUCUCACAUAGUCAACCUUAGCUUGUGUAUCUUUAUGCUUUAAAACAAAAAUGUUAGGCAUAGUUAACAAAUCUAUUGGAGUUAAAGGAUUUAAUCCAUACAAAAUUUCAAAUGGAUCACAAUUCGAUGUGCUGUCAACAACCAUAUUGUAAGCAAACUCAAUAUGAUGUAAACAUAAUUCUUGGAUAGCCGUCACCUUUUCAUAAUCUACAUGAACUCCUUUGGCACUUACCACAAAACACAAGAAUGCAAUUUGUUCAGUACAAAAUGUGCAUUUCUCAAGAUUAGCAUACAACUUUUCUGUUCUAAGAACAUUUAAAACAGCACACAAAUGUUCCUCAUGUAAUUCCAAACUAGUUCUAUAGAUCAAGAUAUCAUCAAAAUACACUACAAAAAAUUAGCCCAAAAAUUCUCUCAAAACAUAGUUCAUUNNNNNNNNNNNNNNNNNNNNNNNNNNNNNNNNNNNNNNNNNNNNNNNNNNNNNNNNNNNNNNNNNNNNNNNNNNNNNNNNNNNNNNNNNNNNNNNNNNNNGACAGUUUUCCAUUUAUUCCCAUUCCUAAUCCUAAUUGAUGGGUAACCACUUCUUAAGUCAAUUUUUGAAAAUAUACAACCACCAUACAAUUCAUCCAUUAAAUUAUCUAACUUGGGAAUAUGGUGUUUAUACUUAAUGGUAAUGUUAUUGAGUGCUCUGCAAUUUGUGCACAUCCUCCAAUAACCAUCAUUUUUAGGCACCAAAAUUACUGGAACAGCACAUGGGCUCAUGGUCUCUUGUACCCAUCCUUUGUUCAUCAAUUCUUCAACUUGAGUUUGGAUUUCCUGCAAAACAGAAUCAACACUAGGAAGCAAAUUAAUUUGGUUAGAAUGGUCAGCAACCAAAGUGCUGUUUUUGCAAUAAGGUAAAUAAAGAGGUUUGCUAGAAAGUAGCAACUUCUUCACUUUAUUCACUUUCAGUAAUCCACUCAUUUUUCUCUCAUGUGUUUCUUUCUUUUUAAGUGUUUCACUCUUGCUCUGUUUAGGUGUUUCACUCAUCUCUCUUUUCUCUUGGACUCUCUUUUCUCUCAAUUUGAUUUGAUCCUUACACACCUCUCUAGGAGAUAAGGGUUUGAGAAUGAUCUUCUUAUUAUUCUGCAUGAAAGAGAUUUUAUUGGUGAAACCAUCAUGAAUAGCCUUGGUGUCAAACUGCCACGGCCUCCGUAACAAAAUGUGAUUUGCCUCCAUUGGAACCACAUCACACAAGAGAUUGUCAUUAUAUUGUCCUAUGAAUAUGUGCACUUCCACUUGCUUACUCACUGUCAUCUCUCCAUCUUCACUAAGCCAUUGAAGCUUGUAUGGCAUUGGGUGCGGUUUUGUCUCCAAAUUCACUUUGGUAACUAGUCUUGAACUUGCUACAUUGGUGCAACUUCCUCCAUCAACUAUGAGUGAACAUAUUUUCCCUUGAAUGGAACAUCUAGUAUGGAAAAUAUUUUCCCUUUGGGUUUGGUCCAAAGCUUGCAUUUUGCUUCCUAAAAGCCUUCGAAUCAUCAACAAAUCACCCUCCAAUGUAUCCAACUCCACCUCUACCUCAUCCUUCUCUUCUUCACUUAAAGGUUCAUUGACUAUUUGUGUCUUUGAUAAACUGAUCAUAUUCUCUUUUUGUUGGACAUUCUGAAGCAUAAUGUCCUCUUCCCAAGCAUUUGAAACAUUUUACCUCACUUGUUUUCCUUUUAGGUGGUGAAUUACUAUAUCUAUGAGGUGACUUCCCACUUGAAGAUGUGACUAAACUUGAGGGAACUCCUUUAUCCUUCAUCGCCUUAUCCUUCCAAUUGAAAUUUUUAUUAUUUUUAGAACUCCUCAUGAUUCCCUUCCUCUUGAGUUGUUGUUCUACUUGGUUAGUCUUGUGCAACAACUCUUUCAUGUCAACAUACUCUUGCAGGUCCACAACAUCCUUAAUAUCAUGAUUGCUUCGUUUUCUUCAUUUUUUCCAGCUCUAAUCAUGGUCACCUCCAUCUCUUUAAAAUACUCUUCCACACUUCUAUUCCCUUGAGUCAUUCUUUGAAGUUUGAGUUGCAAAUCCCUAUUGUAGCUUGCUGGAAUAUAUCUCUUCCUCAUAAUCCUUUUCAUUUCUGUCCAAGUGUUCACCAUGGGUUCCUCAUAUUUAAUUCUCUCCAUUUGGUAUUUAUUCCACCAAGUUAAGGCAUAAUGUGAAAAUUCAGCUGUUGCCAACUUCAUCUUUUGCUCAUCAUUAUACUCACUGCAAGCAAACACAUGCUCUACUUUAAUUUCCCACUCCAAGUAAGCAUCAGGAUCACUUUUUCCAUUGGAUGUAGGAAUAUUUAAUUUUAUUCCAUCAAUUCUCAGAGUUCUUUGUUCUCCCUCAUUUUCUCUUCUCCUCCUCCUAUCUCCCCCUCUAUUUUCUGGAUUUACUUGUUGUGCUUGCUCCAUUUGAUCCAACCUCUCAUGGAGUCCAUCACUUUGUUGUUUCAUUAUCCUUUCCAAGUGUUGUGUUAAGGCUUGCAUCUGUACUUGAGAAAGUCCACUAUCUAACGAUUCCCCUGCCAUGCUCAAGUAAACAGAUUACAAAUAACAAUAAGUUUGGGCCUCACACCACUUUCUCACGUGUUUACACUCAACACUCGUGUUUUACACAAUAAGGUUUUUUUAAUGAUCACACUGCCUUUUACCACUCUUUCUCUACUUAAGGUUCUUACAAGAAUCAAGAAAUCAAUAAUCCAUAAUCACUUUCACUAUAGCAAUCAGAAUCAAUUAAAAAUAAUAGUAAAGAACAAAAUAGUGAAGAACAAUUUCACUAUCAACAAACAAGCAAAACAAUUAAAAAAAAUAGCAAGCAAAACAAUAUAUAGAGAAAAUAAAAUAUGUAGACAUGACACUUUUAGAACUUUUAUCAAACACCAAGUAUGCACUGAAUAAAAGCUAUUUUUUUUUCUGUUUUCCUCUUGUUCUUUUUUUUUCUAUUUCUGUUUUCCUCUUGUUCUUUUUUUUUUCUAUUUCUGUUUUCCUCUUCUUCUUCCUUUUUUUUUCUUUUUUUCUAUUUCUUUUUUUUUUUCUGUUUCUUCUUUCGUUUAAAAAAAAAAUGAACAGUACCUGUGAACAGUAACCGUGAACAGUGCCCCUGUGAAAAGUACCAGUGAACAGUACAAUGUGAAUAGUACAAUGUGAACAGUAAUGAGGAGAAAAAAAAACAGGCACAAUUAUAUUAUGACUCAAACCUUUGCUUUGAGUACCAACUGAUAUGAAUCCAAAUAGAAAUGACAGUAAAAUUGGGAAUUUAGGGUUACGGAACGGAAUAAAUUAAAAACAAUAACAAUAGAAACCUGGAUAAAGGAAGACGCCACAAACAAAGUUUGAUCAGCCUAAGGAUGAUCACUACAAGAAUUGGUGGAUUCUUGAUAAGAUCGCAAGAUGCAGGAAAAUAUCUAGCAGAGAAACACUCUCUAAAUUGUCAAAAUAUUUGUCCCCCUAUUCUGAGUUCCAACAGUGUAUAAAUUACAAAUUUAGCUAGAGGUCUUUUCUUGUUUGUAAGAAAAUAAGAUGAUACUACAAUCCUUAUAUUUGAAGAAUGAUUAUUUGUCCCAGUGGUUAGAUUGAUACUCCAGUUGGAUGUACGCAUCACCAAACCCGAGGCCUCACUAACACUCUCAUAAUUAACACUCUCAUAAUUGAUCACCUUAAGUUUGUUUCUUCUUGUUAUGGUCUUGAAAAGAGAUUAUAGUAACUUGGAUUCGAUCUUUUCUUUCAUCAAACAUAUAGUAAUAAUGGAUUUUUUAUUCUUUAUAUUUCUUUUUGUUAACAAACUAGAUACAUUUUUUUUUUCAUAAGCAAAAUAAUUUAGUAGUAAAAGAAAGCUAAACUUGAGCAUAACAUGUACGGUAAAGAAUUGAAAUGACUCCAUUAAUCAUUGAGGAUCAUAAACAAAAACGAUCAUGGUAUACAAAAUAACAACUAAUCCAAACCUAGAAAUAACAUAAGCACAAACUCUGAACUCUUAUUCUUUUAUCUCCUUCACAAACCUCUGAAGGUUCUCAUAAGAUGUACCUCCUUUUGCUAUGUUCUUCAUCACUUUCUCCUUCAACACCACACACCUACAUUUUAUGCUCUCAUCAUUAAAUAAUUGUUCCACCUUGGUUUUCAGCUCCCCGCGUGACACAACUCCAUUUUGAUCUUUGUCAAUUCCCAACCCAACCUUUAACUCAUCACAAAUAUGUGUUUUGUUGUAAGGUUGGUCUCCAAAGUAUGGCCAACACAACAAAGGUACCCCAUUGGACAAACCUUCCAUGGUAGAAUUCCAACCACAAUGAGUGACAAAACAUGCUAUGGCAGGGUGACUUAAAACCUUUUGUUGAGGUGCCCAAUUAACUAUCUUACCCUUAUGCCCUUGGAAUUCAUGAGGGUAUGCCAUUUUAUUGUCUUCUCUUAUAACCCAAAGAAAAGGUCUAUUGGUGAGGUCUAGUCCAAGGGCAAGUUCAUUGAAUUGGUUUUGGUCAAAAAGAGUGAAACUACCAAAGGCAACAUACAACACAGAACCAUCAGCUUGUUCAUCUAGCCAACUCAUGCAAGAGAGAUCUUCUUCCCAGAAUUGUC
rnacentral:lncRNA from 1 species